rnacentral:rRNA from 1 species
GACGAACGCUGGCGGCGUGCUUAACACAUGCAAGUCGAACGGAAAGGCCCUGCUUUUGUGGGGUGCUCGAGUGGCGAACGGGUGAGUAACACGUGAGUAACCUGCCCUUGACUUUGGGAUAACUUCAGGAAACUGGGGCUAAUACCGGAUAGGAGCUCCUGCUGCAUGGUGGGGGUUGGAAAGUUUCGGCGGUUGGGGAUGGACUCGCGGCUUAUCAGCUUGUUGGUGGGGUAGUGGCUUACCAAGGCUUUGACGGGUAGACGGCCUGAGAGGGUGACCGGCCACAUUGGGACUGAGAUGCGGCCCAGCCUCCUACGGGAGGCAGCAGUGGGGAAUAUUGCACAAUGGGCGGAAGCCUGAUGCAGCAACGCCGCGUGCGGGAUGACGGCCUUCGGGUUGUAAACCGCUUUCGCCUGUGACGAAGCGUGAGUGACGGUAAUGGGUAAAGAAGCACCGGCUAACUACGUG